GAUGAACGCUGGCGGCGUGCCUAAUACAUGCAAGUCGAGCGAACGGACGAGAAGCUUGCUUCUCUGAUGUUAGCGGCGGACGGGUGAGUAACACGUGGAUAACCUACCUAUAAGACUGGGAUAACUUCGGGAAACCGGAGCUAAUACCGGAUAAUAUUUUGAACCGCAUGGUUCAAAAGUGAAAGACGGUCUUGCUGUCACUUAUAGAUGGAUCCGCGCUGCAUUAGCUAGUUGGUAAGGUAACGGCUUACCAAGGCAACGAUGCAUAGACGACCUGAGAGGGUGAUAGGCCACACUGGAACUGAGACACGGUCCAGACUCCUACGGGAGGCAGCAGUAGGGAAUGUGCCGCAGUGGGCGAAAGCCUGACGGAGCAACGCCGCGUGAGUGAUGAAGGUCUUCGGAUCGUAAAACUCUGUUAUUAGGGAAGAACAUAUGUGUAAGUAACUGUGCACAUCUUGACGGUAACUAAUCAGAAAGCCACGGCUAACUACGUG
rnacentral:rRNA from 1 species